rnacentral:rRNA from 1 species
UGCGUAGGUGGUAAUGUGUGUCGGAUGUGAAAUCCCGUGGCUCAACUGCGGAACUGCGUCCGAAACUGCAUAACUUGAGUGCAGGAUGGGAGAGCGGAAUUCUUGGUGUAGCGGUGAAAUGCGUUGAUAUCAAGAAGAACACCGGUGGCGAAGGCGGCUCUCUGGAAUGUUACUGACACUGAGGCACGAAAGCUGGGGGAGCAAACAGGAUUAGAUACCCUGGUAGUCC